GACGUAGGGUGCAAGCGUUGUCCGGAUUUAUUGGGCGUAAAGAGCUCGUAGGCGGCUUGUUGCGUCGACUGUGAAAACUCGGGGCUUAACUCCGGGCCUGCAGUGGGUACGGGCAGACUAGAGUGCGGUAGGGGAGACUGGAAUUCCUGGUGUAGCGGUGAAAUGCGCAGAUAUCAGGAGGAACACCGGUGGCGAAGGCGGGUCUCUGGGCCGUAACUGACGCUGAGGAGCGAAAGCGUGGGGAGCGAACAGG
rnacentral:rRNA from 1 species